rnacentral:rRNA from 1 species
CAAUAGCGUAUAUUUAAGUUGUUGCAGUUAAAAAGCUCGUAGUUGGAUUUCGGUUAAGAGCGACCGGUCCGCCGUUUGGUGUGCACUGGUUGGUUUUAACUUCCUGUAGAGGACGUGCUCUGGGUUUAACGACCUGGACUCGGAGUCUACGUGGUUACUUUGAAAAAAUUAGAGUGUUCAAAGCGGGCUUACGCUUGAAUAUUUCAGCAUGGAAUAACACUAUAGGACUCCUGUCCUAUUUCGUUGGUCUCGGGACGGGAGUAAUGAUUAAGAGGAACAGUUGGGGGCAUACGUAUUUCAUUGUCAGAGGUGAAAUUCUUGGAUUUAUGAAAGACGAACUUCUGCGAAAGCAUUUGCCAAGGAUGUUUUCAUUA